rnacentral:lncRNA from 1 species
AUAGAUUUCACAUUGAAAGGGGGCAGAGAAGAAGGGGCCAUAAGAGAACUCUAGAAGCGGGAGUCCACGCCGCCGGUAGUUAUGUAGGCCAGAUAUCAUUGACGUGUGGGCCUGGUAGUGAAUGGGCCCACUCGGCAAUGAUAGGAGUGGCAGGGGACAAUGAGUAGAUUUUAUUUCUAAAAGCGUAGAGUACUUUUUAUAGUGGGUCCAGCUCUUCGUGUGCGCAUUCGGGAACUGAGUGCGCAUUCGGGAACCAAGUUGGAGGAGGGAAAGGAAAGAAUUGGCGGUAAAUGGCUGCAUGCCGGGGCCAACCCAAUUUUCGGCAAAAAUAAAAACAAAAUGGAAAAAAGGGUGGAUGAUUUUGAAUUGUGAAAAUGUUAAACGUGUUUAGAUUUGGCAUUUGUUGUCCAAAUCCGUUGAUUCUUUUUUCCAACUAGUGGAAGUGCACGUGAUAAAAAAAGAUUACAUACAACUGUCAAUAAAUAAUAACAUUCUAUUAAUUCAAGAGUAAAAGGAAGUCCAUCAACUUUGAGAAUCUUAUCAUGGCUCAUCCGCAUAGAUUGGUUACAACAUUCUAAUGUUCAGGCAUAUCCUAUCAACAUGAGCUAGCAUUCUCUAUUGAAAAACACCCUUCUAGAAUUGGCCCCCCGGUUGUGAUUGACAAACUCGAAACUAACUAUCUUAAUUGAAAUAUUAAUUAAAAAUUAAACAAACUACGUUCAUUGGUGGACACUCCCACAUGAAUUCUAGAUAUGCGAAACUGAAACUUUGGAAAAAAAACAACUAAAUGCUCCUAGUAACGCCUCCUGUAGUCCUCGCACAAGGAACCCUUGCUGAUUCCUUUGACAUUAGCUCUGUUCUUCCUCAUAUUGCCUCACAUCCCGAAGAGCUUCC